GACGAACGCUGGCGGCGCGCCUAACACAUGCAAGUCGAACGGGGUGCGUUCGGAUGAAGUUUUCGGAUGGAUUUUGGAUGUACCUAGUGGCGAACGGGUGAGUAACACGUGAAUAACCUGCCCUGGAGUGGGGGACAACAGUUGGAAACGACUGCUAAUACCGCAUAAGCCCACAGAGCCGCAUGGCUCAGGGGGAAAAGGAGCAAUUCGCUUCAGGAUGGAUUCGCGUCCAAUUAGCUAGAUGGUGAGGUAACGGCCCACCAUGGCAACGAUUGGUAGCCGGACUGAGAGGUUGAUCGGCCACAUUGGGACUGAGACACGGCCCAGACUCCUACGGGAGGCAGCAGUGGGGAAUAUUGCACAAUGGGGGAAACCCUGAUGCAGCGACGCCGCGUGGAGGAAGAGGGUCUUCGGAUUGUAAACUCCUGUCGUUGGGGACGAUAAUGACGGUACCCAACAAGAAAGCCACGGCUAACUACGUGCCAGCAGCCGCGGUAAGAC
rnacentral:rRNA from 1 species